UAGGUCCUCUAAGGACCCUCAGCUACUCUAUGCUAAGCUAAGGCAAGCUAGGUCCUCUAAGGUCCCUCAGCUACUCUAGCCUAAGCUAACCUAAGCUAAGCUAAGGUAGGUCUUCUAAGGUCCCUCAGCUACUCUAGCCUAAUAUAAGCUAAGCUAGGUCUUCAUCGGUCCCUCAGCUACUCUAUCUCCCGCUAAGCUAAGCUAGGUCAUCGAAGUUCAGUGCUCCCUCACAAUCCUGUGCUCUCUAGGCUAAACAAAAUUAUGUCCUCAAAAGUCUUUUUUCCCUUACUAACUCAUAGUCCUCUAGGCUAAAGUAAGCUAUGUCUUCAAAUGUCGCAUUUCUCUCACUAUGCUGAAACACUCUAGUGUAUGAGAAACUAAGCUUGCCUAGGUCCAUAACGGUCUCAUCUCCCUCACAAACGUCAGUUACUCUAUGCUACGUCCUCGAAGGUCUAUACCCCCUCACUAUGCUAAGCUAUGCUAGGCUAAUGUAAGCUAAAGGCUGCAAAAUUGUACUAGUAUCUUAAAAAUUAUACCGUGGCUCGUGGGUGAGUGUUGACUUAUGACCCAGGAGGUCAAGGUUGGAUUCCUCUUCAGUGCACCUGCUGGGGUUGAUGGCUGGGUCCCCCUUCUGGGAGUACAGGAUACAGCGAGUCAGUCGCUCUCUCUUGUCGUUGAUGUUUCCAUCUCUCUCCCUCUGCUUACCUCUGUGAAAUCAAUAAAAAAAUAUUUUUAAAAA